GUUGACCUCGGAUCAGGUAGGAAUACCCGCUGAACUUAAGCAUAUCAAUAAGCGGAGGAAAAGAAACCAACAGGGAUUCCCCUAGUAACGGCGAGUGAAGCGGGAACAGCUCAAAUUUGAAAUCUGGCCCUUGGGUCCGAGUUGUAAUUUGCAGAGGAUGCUUUUGGUGCGGUGCCUUCCGAGUUCCCUGGAACGGGACGCCUUAGAGGGUGAGAGCCCCGUACGGUUGGCCACCAAGCCUGUGUAAAGCUCCUUCGACGAGUCGAGUAGUUUGGGAAUGCUGCUCAAAAUGGGAGGUAUAUUUCUUCUAAAGCUAAAUACUGGCCAGAGACCGAUAGCGCACAAGUAGAGUGAUCGAAAGAUGAAAAGCACUUUGAAAAGAGGGUUAAAUAGCACGUGAAAUUGUUGAAAGGGAAGGGUUUAUGACCAGACUUUUUCUAGGGGGAUCAUCCGGUGUUCUCACCGGUGCACUUCCCCUAGUUGAGGCCAGCAUCGGUUUCUGCCGGGGGAUAAAAGCUUCGGGAAUGUGGCUCCUUCGGGAGUGUUAUAGCCCGUUGCAUAAUACCCUGGCGGGGACCGAGGUUCGCGCAUUGCAAGGAUGCUGGCGUAAUGGUUAUUAACCACCCGUCUUGAAACACGGACCAAGGAGUCGAACAUUUGUGCGAGUGUUUGGGUGUUAAACCCUCACGCGUAAUGAAAGUGAACGGAGGUGAGAGCCCUUCGGGGUGCAUCAUCGACCGAUCCUGAUGUCUUCGGAUGGAUUUGAGUAAGAGCAUAACUGUUCGGACCCGAAAGAUGGUGAACUAUGCGUGGAUAGGGUGAAGCCAGAGGAAACUCUGGUGGAGGCUCGCAGCGGUUCUGACGUGCAAAUCGAUCGUCAAAUCUGCGCAUGGGGGCGAAAGACUAAUCGAACCAUCUAGUAGCUGG
rnacentral:rRNA from 2 species